UACGUAGGGUGCAAGCGUUAAUCGGAAUUACUGGGCGUAAAGGGUGCGUAGGCGGUUCGUUAAGUCUGUCGUGAAAUCCCCGGGCUCAACCUGGGAAUGGCGAUGGAUACUGGCGAGCUAGAGUGUGUCAGAGGAUGGUGGAAUUCCCGGUGUAGCGGUGAAAUGCGUAGAGAUCGGGAGGAACAUCAGUGGCGAAGGCGGCCAUCUGGGACAACACUGACGCUGAGACGCGAAAGCGUGGGGAGCGAACAGG
rnacentral:rRNA from 1 species